UAAGAAGUUAAAAUUAUCUUUAUACAAUAUUUCUUAAAGAAUGUAAAAUUUCUAAAAAAUUUAUCUUAGUGGGACGGAGGGAAUAUAUUGUAUGGAUAUCAAACUGCCAUAUCACUUUCUAAUAACAAUGUGAAUCACAGAGGUGAAGCGCCAUAUUACAC
rnacentral:sRNA from 1 species